AUUGAACGCUGGCGGCAUGCCUUACACAUGCAAGUCGAACGGCAGCACGGGUGCUUGCACCUGGUGGCGAGUGGCGAACGGGUGAGUAAUACAUCGGAACAUGUCCUGUAGUGGGGGAUAGCCCGGCGAAAGCCGGAUUAAUACCGCAUACGAUCUACGGAUGAAAGCGGGGGACCUUCGGGCCUCGCGCUAUAGGGUUGGCCGAUGGCUGAUUAGCUAGUUGGUGGGGUAAAGGCCUACCAAGGCGACGAUCAGUAGCUGGUCUGAGAGGACGACCAGCCACACUGGGACUGAGACACGGCCCAGACUCCUACGGGAGGCAGCAGUGGGGAAUUUUGGACAAUGGGCGAAAGCCUGAUCCAGCAAUGCCGCGUGUGUGAAGAAGGCCUUCGGGUUGUAAAGCACUUUUGUCCGGAAAGAAAUCCUUGGCCCUAAUACGGUCGGGGGAUGACGGUACCGGAAGAAUAGGCACCGGCUAACUACGUG
rnacentral:rRNA from 1 species